CAGCAGCCACGGUAAUACGUAGGUGGCAAGCGUUGUCCGGAAUUAUUGGGCGUAAAGGGCUCGCAGGCGGUUUCUUAAGUCUGAUGUGAAAGCCCCCGGCUCAACCGGGGAGGGUCAUUGGAAACUGGGAAACUUGAGUGCAGAAGAGGAGAGUGGAAUUCCACGUGUAGCGGUGAAAUGCGUAGAGAUGUGGAGGAACACCAGUGGCGAAGACGACUCUCUGGUCUGUAACUGACGCUGAGGAGCGAAAGCGUGGGGAGCGAACAGGAUUAGAUACCCCCGUAGUCCCUGUCUCUUAUAC
rnacentral:rRNA from 1 species